ACACAUGCAAGUCGAGCGGCAGCGCGGGGCAACCCUGCCGGCGAGCGGCGAACGGGUGAGUAAUACAUCGGAACGUAUCCCGUAGAGGGGGAUAGCCCGGCGAAAGCCGGAUUAAUACCGCAUAUGCUCUACGGAGGAAAGCAGGGGACCUGAAAGGGCCUUGCGCUAUGGGAGCGGCCGAUGUCCGAUUAGCUUGUUGGCGGGGUAAUGGCCCACCAAGGCGACGAUCGGUAGCUGGUCUGAGAGGAUGAUCAGCCACACUGGGACUGAGACACGGCCCAGACUCCUACGGGAGGCAGCAGUGGGGAAUUUUGGACAAUGGGGGAAACCCUGAUCCAGCCAUGCCGCGUGAGUGAAGAAGGCCUUCGGGUUGUAAAGCUCUUUUGGUCGGAAAGAAGGAGUUCGGGUGAAUAACCUGGAUUUUUGACGGUACCGGCAGAAUAAG
rnacentral:rRNA from 1 species